rnacentral:rRNA from 1 species
GACAGAGGCCUCGAGCGUUAGGCGGAAUCACUGGGCUUAAAGCGUGUGUAGGCGGAUCGUUAAGUGUCUUGUGAAAUCCCACGGCUCAACCGUGGAACUGCUGGGCAUACUGGCGAUCUUGGGCCACCUAGGGGCAGUCGGAACAAACGGUGGAGCGGUGAAAUGCGUAGAUAUCGUUUGGAACGCCGAUGGUGGAAACAGACUGCUGGGGGUGUGCCGACGCUGAGACACGAAAGCCAGGGGAGCAAACGGG